rnacentral:rRNA from 1 species
CUUCACAAUGUGCGAAAGCACGAUGAGGGGAUCCCAAGUGCUAGCACGUAAGUGUUAGCUGUUUCUUUGUCUAAAAAACAAAGAGAGUAAGAGCUGGGUAAGACGGGUGCCAGCCGCCGCGGUAAUACCUGCAGCUCAAGUGGUGGCCGCUAUUAUUGGGCCUAAAACGUCCGUAGCCGGUUUAGUAAAUGCUUGGGUAAAUCGUGUAGCUUAACUAUACGAACACCGGGUAGACUGCUAAACUUGGGACCGGGAGAGGCUAGAGGUACUCCUAGGGUAGAGGUGAAAUUCUGUAAUCCUAGGGGGACCACCAGUGGCGAAGGCGUCUAGCUAGAACGGGUCUGACGGUGAGGGACGAAGCCCUGGGGCGCGAACCGGAUUAGAUACCCGGGUAGUCCAGGGUGUAAACGCUGCUUGCUUGAUGUUAGUUGGGCUCCGAGCCCAACUAGUGUCGGAGAGAAGUUGUUAAGCAAGCUGCCUGGGAAGUACGGUCCGAAGACUGAAACUUAA